rnacentral:lncRNA from 1 species
UCUAUUAGAAGCUCAUUUUAACGGCUGAAAAAUAAAAGCAAUAAAUACUCUUCCUAAUCAUAAUUUAGUUUGAAUAGCAGUAGCUAAAUCUACGGAACCACUGCGUUUAAGGAACAUGCGUCCACCCUCCAUGCAUGUGUUUGAAGUAUGAAUCUGUUUAAUACGAAGGGUCUUAAAACAAUCAUGCUUACUCACACAGGAGAGAAACAUUAUGUGUGUGAAGUAUGCAAGCGGUCAUUUAGUCAUAAACAUAGUUUAAAUUCGCAUAUGCUUAUUCACACAAAAGAGAAACCUCAUGUGUGUGAAGUAUGUAAGCGGUCAUUUAGUCAUAAACAUAGUUUAAAUUUGCAUAUGCUUAUUCACACAAAAGAGAAACCUCACGUGUGUGAAGUAUGUAGCAAGUCAUUUAGUCGAAAGGAUGAUUUAAACAAGCAUAUGCGUGUUCACACAGGAGAGAAACCUUAUGUUUGUGAAAUAUGUAAGCAGUCAUUUAGUCAUAAACGUAGUUUAAAUCCACAUAGGCUUAUUCACACAAAAGAGAAACCUCAUGUGUGUGAAAUAUGUAGCAAAUCAUUUAUUCAAAAGUGUAAUUUAAACAAGCAUAUGCUUGUUCACACAGAAGAGAAACCUCAUGUGUGUGAAGUAUGUAAGAGAAGUCAUUUCAUCGAAGGGGUGAUUUAACCAGGCAUAUACAUAUUCACACAAAAGAUAAACCCUAUGUUUGUAAGGUAUGUGAGAAGUCAUUUAGUCGAAAGGAUGAUUUAAACAGGGCACAUGCGUGUUUACACAGGAGAGAAACCUUAUGUGUGUGAAGUAUGUAAGAAGUCAUUUAGUCACAAGGCUAUUUUAAAUAGUCAUAUGCUUAUUCACACAGGAUAGAAACCUCAUGUGUAUGAAGUAUGUUACAAGUCAUUUAGACUUAAGUAUACUUUAAAUUUGCAUAUGCUUAGUCACACAAAAGGGUGCUAAGAGAAACCUUAUGUAUGUGAAGUAUGUAACAAGUCAUUUAGUCUUAAGGGUAAUUUAAGUGUGCAUAUGUGUAUUCAUACACGAGAGAAACCUCAUAUGUGUGUGAAGUAUAUAAAAAGUCAUUUAGUCAUAAAGAUCAUUUAAAUACACAUAUGCUUCUUCACACAAAAGAGAAACCUCAUUUGUGUGAAAAAGGUAAGAAGUCAUUUAGUGACAAAGGUAAUUUAAAUGUGCAUAUGUGUAUUCAUUCAAAAGAGAGACCUCAUGUGUGUGAAGUAUGUAAGAAGUCAUUUUGGCAAAAGAGUGGUUUAAACAACCGUAUGCAUAUUCACUCAGGAGAAAAAUCUCGAGUAUGAAAAUGUAACAAAUCAUUUAAUCUUCAGUGUAAUUUAAAUUUCCAUACACUUAUUCACCUAAAAGAGGAACCUUGUCUGUUAAAUAUGUAAGAAGUCAUUUGUGCUAAAAGGUAUUUCAAAUGCGCAUAUGCUUAUUCAUGCUAAACCGAAAUUUUAACACUAUUAAAUAUUAAGCAAGUCAUUUAGACAAAAGGCUGAUUUAAACAAGCAUGUAUGUGUUCAGAAGUGAACCUUUUCUGUGAGUUAUGUAAAACGUCAGAUACAGGAAGAUUUAUUUAAACAUAUAUAUUCACAUAAGAGAGCAAUCUUAUGAGUUAUAUCAAAUUAUGUAUACUGAAGAUGAAUUUGAACAAACAUAGUUAUCUGUACAGAAUAUAUAGACUUUCUCUUUUUUUCUUGUAUUAUUAAGACUCUUUUACUAAUGCUGUAAGAACUUGUGUAUGUCUGAAAUUAACCUCAUUAUGUUAAAUUAACCUCAAGGUUGAUUCAGUGACACUAGAUAGCAGAAUUUAGAAAUCUCAAAAUUCUUAGAAUUUAGAAAGGCACUAUUUUGGAUUUCCAGACAUGGCCAGUGACAAAGUCUUAUCAGUAACCCUGCAUGAGGAAUACAGAAUUCUGGUGAAAAUUUUCUAAAGGGAACAAUGAGUUAAUGCAUUUCCUAAAUAGGUGAUGUUGCCCAAGAUUGUAUGAAGUUGAGUCUUAGCAAUUCUCUGAGGUUUUUAUAAGCAAAAACAAAUCACUGUAUACUUAGAACAAUAACGCUAAAGCAUUACAGCAAGGUUUCAAGAAGGAUCUUUCAAGAUCAUGGUGAUAAUUAUAAAGAAGUGCUGCAGAAGUUUCAUAAGAACAGAAGUCAUUGCAGUGCUUAUGUAAUUGAAACAAUUGAAGAUUAAAUCUGAGAGAGUUCUUCUAAAGGCAAAGUUUUAUUGCAUAUAUAACAUAUUCUUGUGGUUUCUCAUGAGAGUAAAUUGAUGUAUCUCUUCCCAAAUUUGACCUUUGACUUUAAAUGAACUAGAACAUUUAACACAUAUUUAUUCAUUUAACACACAUUCUCACUAGUAUGUGUAAAAAUAUGUUUAUUUUUAGCAAAUUUAAUUGUGAAUAAAUAGUUACAAAUAUUGCAUUUGUAUAAUUUCUUGCUCUGGAUAAGCAUUUUUUUCUUUAAUAGACUUAUCUGUACGACUGAUUUACAAACUUUACAUCGAUGUAUUUUGAGCCCUGCAUCUGUAACCAUGUUUAUUUAAAUCAUGCCUGUAUGCAAUGAUUUGUCACAUACAGUACAUUCUUGUUUUCUGUUAUUAUUUUGAUUUAAAUAUGUGUUUUUGCAUUACCUUUUGUGUGUCCAUUGUAUGAGUAUAUGCAUGUGGAAUCUCACCUGUAUGUAAAGUACAUGUGUCUUUAGUACACUUGAAUGUGAAAAUAACUUACCACCUAUAUCAGUCAUAUGAUUUCUUAUUUCCUUUGAUAUACAUGUCCUUGUAAAGUGAAUUCCAGUAAAGCUGGUGUCUAUAUAUACUAAAUACUGGUGUUUUCUUUUACAAGCCAGGAUGCAUAUGUAUUAUAGCACUGAUCAUUCAGUUUUUUAAUAGAGACAUGUGCAUACAUACAUUAUUGAUGGAUGGAUACAGUAAUUAGUUUUGUAACAGCUUUUUGUUAAAUUUGUGUCUAAUUUACGAGACUUUUAUUUUAUUUAUUUUACUUUUUGUUGUUGUUCAAAACUAGAAAGUGCUUGCACUAAAUGAAUAUGUGGCUUUGGAAUUAAUACUCUAAAUUCAUGUGGAUUUUCUAAAAACUAUUCAAAAAUUUAGUUUUUAUUUUGUUCUGAUGUAGCUAGUGUAAUGUUAGGAAGAAAAUCAGGAGUUUCAAUCAAACGUCCACAAAAUUUUCUUCACAUUGUAUAGUUCAUCACUUGGUAGUAUAGAAAAUUUGAUUAAAAAAAAUUCACAAAGGGAAUUAUUUUGAAAUAUUUCUUGAAACUUUAUCACAAGUCCACCACAAAAUCAACAAGAAUUUAGUUUUAUUAGUAAAGAUUUAAAUAAUGAAAUAUAAAAAUUGACUCUUUUUUUUUGGAACAUGCAGUUUAUUAAUAGGUCUCGCUGUUUGGACAAAUCAUCCAGCUUUAUGCCAUGCAUUUGCAUUGAAUGAUAAAUAUAAGUGUUUUUUUAAUUAACUUUGAAGUUGAAAUAUUAUGGCUUAGCAUUGGUUAUCCUACAGGAAUCUUACUCUCUGAUAUUAUGUGGUUUGUUUUUUAUUUUAAAAUAUUCUCUAGUUCAUUUACAAUGACUGGUAUUUUUGGCUGUUGUAAAAAGUAAAACGUAUCAUUAGAACUGACAAUUUGUUUUUAUAAGAUAAUGUAUGAAUCUCUUCAUAAAAUUUUCAUAGUUCUUGAUUGGAUGGAUAGAAGUAAUUUAUUAAUUGAAGAAUUAAGAUUAAAAAAUUGUAACAAAUUUCGUUAUUCAAGAUAAAAUAUUGCUUGAAAUGUAUAUGCACUAAAUAAUAUUCUAUUAUUAAGUAAAAUUAAUACUGACAAAAUACUAAAUUUGAAAGUGCAGUUUAAAAAUUAGAAAAAUAGAUUUUAUUAUGUGCAGUUACAAUAAAAAUGCAUUUGUGCAUUUGUUAUGUAUUAUAAUUUGUGACUACAGGUAAUAUAUGUAUUAUAAUGAAUUAAAGCAGUUUAAGAUCUGUUUGAGUGAUGUCUGCAAGAAAAAAGGGUAAAGCAUUUGCGAUCUAUAGGGAAGAUAUGUUAUUAUUUGAUUAUAAUUAGUAUGAUUUAUGUUAAGUUCAUCAAUAUUCUGUAAGGUAAUCAAGCAGCUAAAAGUAUAAAACACUUGUAAUUAAAUAUCCUUUGCUUGAUUUGUAUUUUGAAAUAAUUAUGAAUUUUAUAAAGGAACUGAAUGCUAAAAUUGCUAAGCACUCAUAACCCUGUAAUAUGAUUCACAAUAGCUUUAUGAGUUGGUAGCAUGAACUAGUUUUGUUACAUAAAUAUAAGUAAGUCCCUGGAGAAAGUGUAAAUUGUAUUUCUCUUUAGGCUGAUUAUAUAAUGGAUAGAAGAAUAUGACCUGUUGAAGAAUAUUUUAGCUUAAAUAUGAAUCUUUAGGUCUAACAAUUUGCAGCUAUGCAGUAUUUUUGCAGCUUGGAAGCAAAAGUCUGUCAUGCCUGAAAUCUACUUCAGCGUUUGAUCGUAAGAGUACAAGGUCUCAAAAUAUAUGUCUCAGGGUGUCCACAGCCGCAGGUUGGAGUAGUUAUAUAACCCAUAUGCAUUUUAUGUUAAUUAAAUAAUCCAGUUUAAACCUAUACAGAUAGUACAGAUAAUUAGGUAAAGGUCUUUGGUCAUAAUUUAUCCACUAUGAAGCUAUUACAAUAUAAUUUUGUGCUUAUUUCUUAUACUGUGUAUCAAUGAUUUCAUAUUAUAUAUGGGUAAAAUUUAAACUUUGUCAUUAUAUACAUAAGAAUUAGUUUGAAAUUUCUAUAUUUGAAUACAUAUGUAAUCAUAGUUUUAACCAACUAAACAAAAUGAUAAAUAAAUUGCAUUCACGAAUUAA